CAGAAGAGAGAGAGAAAGUGGGUCGGCAAAAAGUGGGGCAGCGAAACGGACAGACCAACCCGUGUUUCAACGACCUGUCGGGCAACCCGCCCAACCCGGGCUCUAAUUCUCAAUCUCGUGUCUCUCCCCCCUCGCUACCAAAGACUGCGUUGAUUCACUUCUCUAGUCUCUCUCUCUCUCUCUCUCUCUCUCUCUCUAUUUAAACACCAGACAAGCCAAACCGCAUCGUGCCCAGAAACAGUACCGAUCGCCCCGAGAAACAGAAAGAAAGAAAGAUUCAGCCGUUUGUCUCACAAGACACCCAGAGAGAUCCGCUUAUUUUUUUUUUUAUUUGGGGGUUCUUUUGUUGGGUUGUUUGUUGUUGUUGGAUGGUCUUGAUGGAGCUCCAACUGGGUCUCGCCCUCCCCAGCAGCGACGGCUACGUGGGAGCGCAGCAGCAGCAACAGCAGCAGCGGCGGCGGCGUCACGGGCUCGACUUGGACCUCAACGUGAACGGGUUCGGCCACGGUGGCGACGAGACCAUGGAGGAGGCCGUGGGAUCGAACCGUUUCGAUCCCGGGUUGAGCCUCGAGGAAGAGGAGUGCGAGUACGAGCGAGGGGAUUGCGAGAGGAGCGUGCCCCGGACGCUUCCGCUCCUGUUCGGGACUCAGAACCACGAGGCUGAAGAAGCCGACGACGACGGCGAGGGCCAUCGCCACUUUUCCGGCGACAAGGAGUCCACGUACCUGAAGGUGACAAUGGAAGGCGUAGGGAUCGGGAGGAAGAUCGAUCUCAGCCUCCAUCGCUCUCUCCACUCCCUCAUGUACACCCUCACCAACAUGUUUGGCUUGUGUAAGCUUUCGCAACAUUUCUAUCUAAACAUCUCCAUUUCUCUUCGCGAGUUCAACCGCAAAAAUUACCAGAAAAAGAAAGAACGAAAAGUGAAAAAAGAAUCAUCGAUUUUGCUGAGCUCUCCCGUGAAACAGGCUAUGAAGAAUCCGAAAACCUGAAGCUCGCUUACCAGGACAGGGAUGGAGAUUGGGUGUUCGCCGAGAACGUGACUUGGAGGUGCUUUGUGCGGUCUGCUCAGCGAUUGAAGCUACUAAGGAUGAGUGGUUGACCGAGACCGUAGUGG